rnacentral:rRNA from 1 species
UACGUAGGGGGCAAGCGUUAUCCGGACUUACUGGGUGUAAAGGGAGCGUAGACGGCUUUGCAAGCCAGAUGUGAAAGCCCGGGGCUCAACCUCGGGACUGCAUUUGGAACUGUAUGGCUGGAGUGUCGGAGAGGCAGGCAGAAUUCCUAGUGUAGCGGUGAAAUGCGUAGAUAUUAGGAGGAACACCAGUGGCGAAGGCGGCCUGCUGGACGAUGACUGACGUUGAGGCUCGAAAGCGUGGGGAGCAAACAGG